rnacentral:lncRNA from 1 species
GUUGAGCCUGAGCUGGAGACCACUUUGUUCCCUGGGAAUUUUUCGACAGCACGUGGAAACAAGCGGGGAGGAACUUUGACGGCGGGCUCCUCUCCCGUUCGUUGUUCGCCCCAGGGGGUGGUGCACGAUUUCGUUGCCUCUUCCGUUGGUCCCGGCUCGGGGUGAGACGGUGUCGCCUCACGUUCAAUGACUUGUUCCAGCCGCUGCUGGGUUACCUGCACGCGCAGACUGAAUUGCGCAUCUUUCCACGCUUUGAACCGCUCGUUUUCUUGUCCCCGCCCGCCGCUGGAGAGGCCGCGCCUUCGCGGAUGGGUCUGAUCCCCUUUCCCCGGCUGUAUGAGCUGCGAAGCUUUCAACUCCGGGGAGAGGCACGCAUCCGGCCACGAGAUGAAGCGAACGAACGCAGGCGCAGAGCAGGCUGAGAGCGGCCGCGCUCUGCAGGGGUUGUCACAGCGUGCGGGCCCUCCCGUCUUACGCGAAUUUUCUGUCUCACGAUGCCAGUCAGCUACGACACAAGGCUGGGAUGUCGCUGACGACGGAGCAGCAACGGCACGGGGUGAAUCGUCGCUUCGCCGAUGCCAGGUCUGAGAGGAAAUCGUAGGAGUUCCGUCUUCAUGAGACCGAAAAGAAUCCGAUGAAGCCCCGUCUGUCGCAGCAGGAAGGCCGUGGGUUUUCAGGUUCUCUUGCCUGAGAACGUCACGGGUAGGUUGGAAUGAAGAGGCAUCCACGGCAGAGUCAGCUUCGCUUCUACUGGGGGAUCGACAUGGGGAACGGCCGAGCGUCUGGCUGAGCAAAGCGCAAGGAAGAGGACCGGGCGACCGUGUCAAGGGCACAAACAGACUGAGUUCCUCCGAGAGAACAGGGAUGUUGGCGCACGCCAGUUCGCCGACUGCCGACGCUUCGCAUGAGCUCGACGAUAGGUUUUCCAUCGAGGAGGAACGCCGCGGCAGUCCGGUUGUCACAGCCGUGGGGGCUGGGGAGCACCGACGGAGGUGCGUUUCAGCCUCCAGCCCAGGAGACGAGGACAGAGCCGCAGAGGAAACGGAGGCAGAUACGAAGGAGACGGAAGUUGACAUCGCAGGUGGAGAUAUAGGUGCCCCGCGUCUUCCCACGGGGCCAGGAGACGUGAAGUCACCGUGUGGACUGGGAUUAACAGACGGACUCGUCGGUAGCAAGAAAGGGG